UACGAAGGGGGCUAGCGUUGCUCGGAAUCACUGGGCGUAAAGCGCACGUAGGCGGAUCUUUAAGUCAGAGGUGAAAUCCUGGAGCUCAACUCCAGAACUGCCUUUGAUACUGAAAAUCUUGAGUAUGGGAGAGGUGAGUGGAACUGCGAGUGUAGAGGUGAAAUUCGUAGAUAUUCGCAAGAACACCAGUGGCGAAGGCGGCUGACUGGUCCGGUUCUGACGCUGAGGCGCGAAAGCGUGGGGAGCAAACAGG
rnacentral:rRNA from 1 species